rnacentral:rRNA from 1 species
CUACGGGACGCAGCAGUGAGGAAUAUUGCACAAUGGGGGGAACCCUGAUGCAGCAACGCCGCGUGGAGGAUGACGCAUUUCGGUGUGUAAACUCCUUUUAUAUGUCAAGAAAAUGACGGUAGCAUAUGAAUAAGCACCGGCUAACUCCGUGCCAGCAGCCGCGGUAAUAGGAGGGUGCAAGCGUUACUCGGAAUCACUGGGCGUAAAGGACGCGUAGGCGGGUUGGAAAGUCAGGUGUGAAAUCCUACAGCUUAACUGUAGAACUGCACUUGAAACUUCUAAUCUAGAGUAUGGGAGGGGGAGAUGGAAUUAGUGGUGUCGGGGUAAAAUCCGUAGAUAUCACUGGGAAUACCUAAAGCGAAGGCGAUCUCCUGGAACAUUACUGACGCUAAGGCGUGAAAGCGUGGGGAGCAAACAGGAUUAGAUACCCCGGUAGUC